CAAACAGAGAGUUUGAUCCUGGCUCAGGAUGAACGCUGGCGGCGUGCUUAACACAUGCAAGUCGAACGGAGACUUUUUCAGUGUAACCUUCGGGGAGCAAGAGAAAGUCUUAGUGGCGGACGGGUGAGUAACGCGUGGGCAACCUGCCUCGCACCGUGGGAUAACAGGGGGAAGCUCCUGCUAAUACCGCAUAAAGUAUAUAGACGCAUGUCAAUAUACAAAAAGGGAUACCGGUGAGAGAUGGGCCCGCGUCCGAUUAGAUAGUUGGCAGGAUAGCAGCCUACCAAGUCAACGAUCGGUAGCCGGCUUGAGAGAGUGGACGGCCACACUGGGACUGAGACACGGCCCAGACUCCUACGGGAGGCAGCAGUGGGGAAUAUUGGACAAUGGGGGCAACCCUGAUCCAGCGACGCCGCGUGAGUGAAGAAGUAUCUCGGUACGUAAAGCUCUAUCAGCAGGGAAGAAAAAAGCGGUACCUGACUAAGAAGCCCCGGCUAACUACGUGCCAGCAGCCGCGGUA
rnacentral:ncRNA from 1 species